GGCUCAGGACGAACGCUGGCGGCGUGCCUAAUACAUGCAAGUAGAACGCUGAAGAGAGGAGCUUGCUCUUCUUGGAUGAGUUGCGAACGGGUGAGUAACGCGUAGGUAACCUGCCUUGUAGCGGGGGAUAACUAUUGGAAACGAUAGCUAAUACCGCAUAACAAUGGAUGACACAUGUCAUUUAUUUGAAAGGGGCAAAUGCUCCACUACAAGAUGGACCUGCGUUGUAUUAGCUAGUAGGUGAGGUAACGGCUCACCUAGGCGACGAUACAUAGCCGACCUGAGAGGGUGAUCGGCCACACUGGGACUGAGACACGGCCCAGACUCCUACGGGAGGCAGCAGUAGGGAAUCUUCGGCAAUGGGGGCAACUCUGACCGAGCAACGCCGCGUGAGUGAAGAAGGUUUUCGGAUCGUAAAGCUCUGUUGUAAGUCAAGAACGAGUGUGAGAGUGGAAAGUUCACACUGUGACGGUAGCUUACCAGAAAGGGACGGCUAACUACGUGCCAGCAGCCGCGGUAAUACGUAGGUCCCGAGCGUUGUCCGGAUUUAUUGGGCGUAAAGCGAGCGCAGGCGGUUUGAUAAGUCUGAAGUUAAAGGCUGUGGCUCAACCAUAGUUCGCUUUGGAAACUGUCAAACUUGAGUGCAGAAGGGGAGAGUGGAAUUCCAUGUGUAGCGGUGAAAUGCGUAGAUAUAUGGAGGAACACCGGUGGCGAGAGCGGCUCUCUGGUCUGUAACUGACGCUGAGGCUCGAAAGCGUGGGGAGCGAACAGGAUUAGAUACCCUGGUAGUCCACGCCGUAAACGAUGAGUGCUAGGUGUUGGAUCCUUUCCGGGAUUCAGUGCCGCAGCUAACGCAUUAAGCACUCCGCCUGGGGAGUACGACCGCAAGGUUGAAACUCAAAGGAAUUGACGGGGGCCCGCACAAGCGGUGGAGCAUGUGGUUUAAUUCGAAGCAACGCGAAGAACCUUACCAGGUCUUGACAUCCCGAUGCUAUUUCUAGAGAUAGAAAGUUACUUCGGUACAUCGGUGACAGGUGGUGCAUGGUUGUCGUCGGCUCGUGUCGUGAGAUGUUGGGUUAAGUCCCGCAACGAGCGCAACCCCUAUUGUUAGUUGCCAUCAUUCAGUUGGGCACUCUAGCGAGACUGCCGGUAAUAAACCGGAGGAAGGUGGGGAUGACGUCAAAUCAUCAUGCCCCUUAUGACCUGGGCUACACACGUGCUACAAUGGUUGGUACAACGAGUUGCGAGUCGGUGACGGCAAGCUAAUCUCUUAAAGCCAAUCUCAGUUCGGAUUGUAGGCUGCAACUCGCCUACAUGAAGUCGGAAUCGCUAGUAAUCGCGGAUCAGCACGCCGCGGUGAAUACGUUCCCGGGCCUUGUACACACCGCCCGUCACACCACGAGAGUUUGUAACACCCGAAGUCGGUGAGGUAACCUUUUGGAGCCAGCCGCCUAAGGUGGGAUAGAUGAU
rnacentral:rRNA from 1 species